UGGGGAAUAUUGCACAAUGGGCGCAAGCCUGAUGCAGCCAUGCCGCGUGUAUGAAGAAGGCCUUCGGGUUGUAAAGUACUUUCAGCGGGGAGGAAGGGAGUAAAGUUAAUACCUUUGCUCAUUGACGUUACCCGCAGAAGAAGCACCGGCUAACUCCGUGCCAGCAGCCGCGGUAAUACGGAGGGUGCAAGCGUUAAUCGGAAUUACUGGGCGUAAAGCGCACGCAGGCGGUUUGUUAAGUCAGAUGUGAAAUCCCCGGGCUCAACCUGGAACUGCAUCUGAUACUGGCAAGCUUGAGUCUCGUAGAGGGGGGUAGAAUUCCAGGUGUAGCGGUGAAAUGCGUAGAGAUCUGGAGGAAUACCGGUGGCGAAGGCGGCCCCCUGGACGAAGACUGACGCUCAGGUGCGAAAGCGUGGGGAGCAAACAGG
rnacentral:rRNA from 1 species